rnacentral:tRNA from 1 species
AGGCUCGUAGCUCAGUUGGUUAGAGCACCACCUUGACAUGGUGGGGGUCGUUG